rnacentral:rRNA from 1 species
UAAAGAUUAGCGUGUCGGCCAUUAGAAGCAACAUGCAAGUCGAGCGGGGAAGGGUAGCUUGCUACCUGACCUAGCGGCGGACGGGUGAGUAAUGCUUAGGAAUCUGCCUAUUAGUGGGGGACAACAUUCCGAAAGGAAUGCUAAUACCGCAUACGCCCUACGGGGGAAAGCAGGGGAUCUUCGGACCUUGCGCUUAUAGAUGAGCCUAAGUCAGAUUAGCUAGUUGGUGGGGUAAAGGCCUACCAAGGCGACGAUCUGUAGCGGGUCUGAGAGGAUGAUCCGCCACACUGGGACUGAGACACGGCCCAGACUCCUACGGGAGGCAGCAGUGGGGAAUAUUGGACAAUGGGCGAAAGCCUGAUCCAGCCAUGCCGCGUGUGUGAAGAAGGCCUUUUGGUUGUAAAGCACUUUAAGCGAGGAGGAGGCUACUUGGAUUAAUACUCUAGGAUAGUGGACGUUACUCGCAGAAUAAGCACCGGCUAACUCUGUGCCAGCAGCCGCGGUAAUACAGAGGGUGCGAGCGUUAAUCGGAUUUACUGGGCGUAAAGCGUGCGUAGGCGGCUUUUUAAGUCGGAUGUGAAAUCCCUGAGCUUAACUUAGGAAUUGCAUUCGAUACUGGGAAGCUAGAGUAUGGGAGAGGAUGGUAGAAUUCCAGGUGUAGCGGUGAAAUGCGUAGAGAUCUGGAGGAAUACCGAUGGCGAAGGCAGCCAUCUGGCCUAAUACUGACGCUGAGGUACGAAAGCAUGGGGAGCAAACAGGAUUAGAUACCCUGGUAGUCCAUGCCGUAAACGAUGUCUACUAGCCGUUGGGGCCUUUGAGGCUUUAGUGGCGCAGCUAACGCGAUAAGUAGACCGCCUGGGGAGUACGGUCGCAAGACUAAAACUCGAAAGAAUUGACGCCAGGUUG